UGAUGCAUGUAUACAUACAUACAUUCAUACAGGUAAACAUAAAGACACAUGUGCAAGUACACUCGUAAACAUAGAUAUGGGCUUUAUCUCUUUCCAUCUAUUUCUUUCUCUCCCUCUCUCUCUCU
rnacentral:ribozyme from 1 species